UUCACAAUACCGUCGUGUCUACACAUACAUACUAUAGUUUUAGACAUGUUUCAAAAAAUACUAGGCAAUAAAGCGAGCCAAUCCGAAGAGAAUGCAAAGAAUGAUAAAUCACGGAGGGGCAAGCCAAAAGCGAAAUCAUGCAAAUGUGUCCCGCAAAACUGCAAAUGUAAGAUACGAAAUGCAGUCAAGCUGUUGGCCAAACAACGUUAUAAUUUUAGAUCGAACGAAAUUUUUGUUUGAGUGUUGAAUUAUAAAUAAAAAAUAUUAAUUUCCUAACUUUAAUUUUGAUUGUUGACGCUAUUGUGGCUUUUAGAGGACUUAAAUGUAAUCUUUUGACCAAACUAGUUAUUUGAAUUUAACCGGGAAAACGAUGAAAUAAAUUUGACUCGUGGAGUAACUAAAAAAAUACCGUUAUUAAAACUGUUAAAAAUGAUUAAUGUGCUUUAUACAAUAUUGUUCUCAAAAGAAAAAUGAAAAUCUAAUUACAUGAAAUACAUCAGAAUUUUAAGAAUAGUAACUAUGGAAGAGUACGACAAUAGCCUUAA